UGAAAGGGGCUGGCUGGCCUGUCAUCUGCAGUGAGUCAAAUGCUCGAAACGCUGCCUGGCCCUCUUUGUCGGAGGGUCAGCAGCGAACUCAAUUCAGACUAGUCCU
rnacentral:ribozyme from 1 species